rnacentral:rRNA from 1 species
CAGUAGCCGCGGUAAUACAGAGGGUGCGAGCGUUAAUCGGAUUUACUGGGCGUAAAGCGUGCGUAGGCGGCUUCUUAAGUCGGAUGUGAAAUCCCUGAGCUUAACUUAGGAAUUGCAUUCGAUACUGGGAAGCUAGAGUAUGGGAGAGGAUGGUAGAAUUCCAGGUGUAGCGGUGAAAUGCGUAGAGAUCUGGAGGAAUACCGAUGGCGAAGGCAGCCAUCUGGCCUAAUACUGACGCUGAGGUACGAAAGCAUGGGGAGCAAACAGGAUUAGAUACCCCUGUAGUCCCUGUCUUUAUACC